GACAAUAAUGACAAAGAAGAUGAAGAGCAGCAUCCUUUAAAUGAAUCAGGACUAGAAUGUCAAAAGAAACUAUUUGAAGAUGAGGACAUGGUUAUAGAUGAUAGUUUUCAUGGCAGUUAUGGUUAUAAUAGUGAAGAUGAGAUGAGUCCACUUUACCCUCUGGAUAGUUCCUUGUUGAGGAUGGUAUAGAAGUGGUGAAAAAUACUUAUGCAUUUAAGAUAG